GACGUAGGGCGCAAGCGUUGUCCGGAUUUAUUGGGCGUAAAGAGCUCGUAGGCGGCUUGUCGCGUCGACUGUGAAAACCCGUGGCUCAACCAUGUGGUCUGCAGUCGAUACGGGCAGGCUAGAAUUCGGUAGGGGAGACUGGAAUUCCUGGUGUAGCGGUGAAAUGCGCAGAUAUCAGGAGUAACACCGGUGGCGAAGGCGGGUCUCUGGGCCGAUAUUGACGCUGAGGAGCGAAAGCGUGGGGAGCGAACAGG
rnacentral:rRNA from 1 species